CCUACGGGUGGCAGCAGUGGGGAAUAUUGCACAAUGGGGGAAACCCUGAUGCAGCGACGCCGCGUGAGUGAAGAAGGAAUUCGUUAUGUAAAGCUCUAUCAGUAGGGAAGAAAAUGACGGUACCUGAGGAAGAAGCCCUGGCUAACUACGUGCCAGCAGCCGUGGUAAUACGGAGGGGGCAAGCGUUAUCCGGAUUUACUGGGUGUAAAGGGAGCGUAGUCGGUAGUGCAAGUCUGGAGUGAAAGUCGGGGGCUCAACCCCCGGACUGCUCUGGAAACUGUACGGCUGGAGUGCAGGAGAGGUAAGUGGAAUUCCUGGUGUAGCGGUGAAAUGCAUAGAUAUUAAGAGGAACACCAGUGGCGAAGGCGGCUUACUGGACUGUAACUGACGUUGAGGCUCGAAAGCGUGGGGAGCAAACAGGAUUAGAUACCCUUGUAGUC
rnacentral:rRNA from 1 species